rnacentral:lncRNA from 1 species
UUUUUAGAGUCAUUAGUGGCAAUCCAAUUACUACAAUACAUGAAGGUGCGUUUGCAGACCUACCAGCCCUCGAGUCAAUGUAUGUAUACAGAUACACAAUACAGUGUAUUCAACAAUUCAACCGCCUAAUUAGAAAUGUUUAAGGUCCAUUACUAUACGCCACUAGUUAUCAUUACUGCUGUUGCCGGCAUUCUGGUUGUGUGUAAUAACUAGAACGUACUACACAUACAGUUGAUCUGAGUCUGUUUUGAACAAGUUGAAAGAUAAAUGACCUUUUAUUUCAAAUAUGAAAAUAUAUAUGAUUAUAUUUUUAAAAAGGAAAGCACAAAAAUACCAAACUGCAAGGAAAAUUCAAACUGCAAUGACUAAUCUCAAACACAUCAAACAAACUAAAAACUAAUUUCGAAUUCCUGACAAGUGAGGCAUUUUUAUGUAGAAAAUAGUGUAAUAGAUCUGUUUGUAUAGCUAGUUUAACCUCUCACUUGUAUGACAAUUAUAUAUAAUUCAAUUAUAUUGCCAACGAUUUCUUAACAACACAAACAAUCAUAAUAGGUAAAUUGUCAAAAUAUGAGUACGACAGUCAACAAUUUGAAUGACCACAAAAAAAAAAAAUAAAAAAUUAUGAAACACAGAAACAGAAAAAGACAUAUAGACAAAUCAUACAGGUAACAAUGAUAUACAAAAGAACAAACAUUUACCAUAGAAAAAUUAACACAUUAACGCAUUUAAAGAAGAGAAACAGAUUCCGACACUAUAACUCGUAUAUUACGAUAUUUCUCCACUCUCAAUACUUAAAUUUUAAUUAUUUAAAAAGCUCUGCAAGCCUCGCACUUUAAAUAAUAAAAUUUAACUGUCUCGAGUGGAGAAAUAUCGUAAUACACUUGUUGCAGUGUACAAUCUAUAUACCCCAAAUGCAGGUGAAGGUUUUAUUGGUACUUUUAUAUGAAUUUGAAAUUAUUUGCCUUUAUUUCUUUGUCGUUUUCCUCUCAUAUAUUUUCUAAUUCUUUACAUUUGAAUAUAUACUUUUUAAAAGCUCUUUUAAUAUUAAUAAGUAAGCAUUUGUAUGAUAUUUUUAUGUGUGUUUUUAUGUAUAACAGUUUUUAUUGUUUGGAAAUACAUUUUUCUAAAUAAAUGCCGUUUUCCGUUGAAAGUUGUUUUGAAAGUAAGAAAUGAAAUUUAAUCAUUUUAUACCGUAUGUUUUUUAAAACUGAAUUAUAUUAUUUUUCUAAAUUUACAAUCAAGCGAUAUCUUAAAAACUACUGGAUCACAACAAAUGAAUGGUCGAUACUUCGAUAAUCGGUUCAUCUAGAAAAGAGUUUUUUUAAACUUCGAAAACUGCAUCAAUUUGAAUAACGUAUAUAAAAAAAGAACUUUCAACAAGAAAUCUAAUAAGACAUACAUUAAAAACUAUAGGUCAACAAUCGCAUAGGAAACCUUUAAAAAUGCACAGAAAUGACAAAUGAAAAAAGAAUUCAAACGAGAAAACUGGCAUGUUUUUAAAGAUGAUUCACAAAAAAGACACAUAUCAAUAAUAGUUGAUUUUAACACUAAAGUUUGACUAAUGGGCUGUUAAUGGGAUAAACAAUCUAUCAAACAUUGACAUUGAACAGUUAGGUUGCCAAGUUUAUUAUUCACGUUUACCUGUGAAUUGACGUGAACACAAACGCAUGUUCGAAUUUUAUAAAUUGAGAACGCAUAUGACUCCCUGUAUUGAAAGCAUAUCAAAGCAGAUUGUCAUGGUAAUUUAUAUACUUUGUUCAUUUACACAUUAAAAGCUAUCAUUCGUUUUUACAGUUUAAACGAUUAUGUGCAUGUAUGAUAUGUGAUUUUUUGGGAUGAAAUUAAUAUACAAAAAUAUACAUCAAUUUAUUUAUAUUCCACGAGUUUCGAUUUUCAUUGAUUUCAUACAUGUAUAAAAUAAAAAUAAUUGUUUUAUAUUGGGUAUACAUUUAACUCCCAUAUUAUUAUAUAAUUUGUGGUGUAUCUGGUUUCAUAUACAUUCUAUAAUUUCAAUAACUGGGUUUAAGUGUUCCCUUUCAAUAGCAAUGUUAUCACACGCUUUGGUUUUUCCAAUGUAUUGAAUAGCGAUACGAAGGUAAGGAAUGUUAAUUGAAGUAUGACUGUACACAUGGCAAUAUGAUAUUUUUAUUUCAAAGAUCCAUCUUAAUGGUAUUAGCUUAUAAAACAAAAAAAAUGAACAUUUACAUAUCAUUCGAUUACUAACAAUCCUUAGGGAAGUAAUCUUAUAAUAAAUCUUUACUAUACCGAAUCAUUAUUUUUUUUCAUUUUAGAGAGUGUGAUGGGUGUGAGUCUUCUAGUCGUAUCACAACAAUACAAAGUGAAGCGUUUAGAAACCUUUCAGCUCUUAAAUAUAUGUAUGUAUAAAGUUUGACAAUUUUUGUUCGAAAGCAAAAUGUGAAAAUAUCUAGUCAUUCCUAGUCAUAUCUUGUUUACUUAAAACUAGUAUAAUAAAAGAACACCGAUUAAUAUGAAGUUUAAAGCGUAGAAGAUAAAACAGAAUAGAUUUUUUCUUAUGCUUGUUAAAUAAAAAAAAAAUAACAUCUUGGUUCGACUCAUUAUUUGUUUACUCAGGCUGGAUACCCAUAUGAUAAUAAAGAAUAAUGCCAGUAUCAUAUAUCAAUAUUGAUAAAACGACACCAUGGACAAAUAUCCUUUUCAUGACACAUUCAGAUCAUAAUACUAAUAACAACAGCAGCAAUCUUCGAAUGCAUCUGUGUUCAGUUCUUUUACAAGACCUGUUUGCCUCUGAACAACACUGUCAAAUUUUAAAAUGUGAAGCCAAUGGCUGCAACACUUAUGGAAUUGAAAUAACAUAUUCUCAGUAGCAAUUUUACUUAAAAGUCUUAUUUUACAGGAAGUAAGAAUGAUAUGACUUAUAUAUCAACAUUUGUCGUCUAUGAUAUUAAAUAUAUUAUAUAUGCUGAUUAGUUUACAUUAGUGACAAGUAAGGAAUUCUAAAUAGACAUAUGUGCGGUCAUAUAUCAGCCAUAAAUCACAAUUUAAGUGACACUGUAUACCAGCUUUUUAACCAACCUGGUAAUUCAAUCCUUUUAAUGCAAGUUCGCAUCAUCGAAAAUACACCACAGUACUUACAAUUCUCAAUUUGCAACACAUUUAGUAGACACACAUAUGACUACUGGAUUCGACAAUUGGAAACUACGACACCAUACACUACAAACCAUUAAAGUCUGAAAUGGCCUAUAUCUGUACUCGACUGUACUGAUUUUUACUCGACCAGUUUGAAUUGGUCUGACUUUUACUUGACAUUACUCGACCCCAGUCUGAACCAUACUUGACUGUACUGAAUCGUACUUGACCCUUAUCUUUGCCGUUGAAAAUAGUCUGAACUAUUACUCGACCAGUCUGAAACAGUCUUAACCCAUUCUCGACAUGUUCUCGACCUAUUUUACCAGUCUAAACCAUACUUAACCAAAGGUCUGAACAAUACUCGACCAGUCUGAACCAUACUAGCCAAAAAAAUUUCUACUUUUUUAACUAUUAAAAAAAUGUUCUUUUUAACUGACAUAUGUAACAACAGCCAACAAAAUUUAUAAAGAAAUUUAACCUUAUAAAAGAAAUAUAUCUCUGAUUAUAUUUAGGAUAAAAACAAAAUAUUAUAUAUAACUUAUAUCAAAAAGGGAUAAAAUUAAAUAAAUAAAUAAAAUUGUUUUUCUGAUUAGUGGAAAUAUAAAGUUUAACCUCUGCUUGGGGGCAAACUCAUAAAUAAGAUCACCUGGUCAGAGGUAUUAAGUUCUAAAUAACAUUGAUUCAAAAUUGCAACAUCCUGUUUAAAUUAAAUAACAAGGCCUUUCGAAUAUACAUGUAUGUACUAGAUAAGUAAUACACGAAUUUAAGAAAAUAGGGCGUUCUUUUUACCUGUAAAACACACAUGUACUGAGGUAAUUAGAACGUAUUAAAGUGCUUUAUGUAUGCCAUGUUAAUUUGACAAAAAAAAAAUACUUAAAGUAAUUGAAAUUUUUUUUUACUGUUACUUUGGAAUACAUUUCUUUUUUUAAAAAGGUUAUCAAGGAUUGCUAUGGAAAUUCUAUUAUCAUGACUAUAUUAAAUUUUUGGUUUAAUAAAACAAAACAAUUAAACUCUCAUUUUUUUUUAAUUUAUUAAGUUGUUUUAUAUACUAUUUUAUAUAUAUCUUAAUAAAAAAAACAUUCACUUCAUUAUUACCCAAACUCAACUGACACCGUGAAUCUAUACUAGGCUUAAGUUUAUGAUGAAAAUAGUCCAGUUACCAUAAAAUACUUCCGAUAUAUUCAUAACAUUUUCAAUAGUAUUGAAAAUAUUAGUCACAAUUCAUCUUUUUAGAUUAUUUGAUCAGCUUUUUUUAUAUUAUAUUUUAAAAGUUGAUAAAUAUUAUUAUGUAAGUGUUGAUUAAUAUUGAGUUGAAGUUAUAUUAUGAUUGAUUAUUGUGAAAUUUCAAUUUCAAUACUGUAUUGAAUACAUUUUUAAUUUCAAGUUGUUGUUCAAAUUUCAUUUUUAUUAAAAAAAAAGUCCUAAAUUGAUAAAAUUCAGUUGAUAGAUAGAAAGAAUAGAUCUAGGUUGGUUAAGACAUGGUCGAGUAUGGUUUAGACUAGGUCGAGUAUGGUUCAGACUAGGUCGAGUACGGUUCAGACUAGGUCUAGUACGGUUCAGACUAUGUCGAGUACGGUUCAGACUCGUAUAAAACGGUUAAGUACUGGUCAAGUACACAUUCAGACUGUUAAGUAUGGUUCAGACUACAGUCGAGUAUUAUCAAGUAAAUCUCAGACGAAUUCAGACUGGUCGAGUAAAAUCAGUACAGUCGAGUAAAGAUAUAGGCCAUUUCAGACUUUUAAUGGGUUGUAGUGAUAGGUUCACAAAGACGAAACUGAUGGAGUAGGUUUUCUACUUAGUCCUAUUUGUAGCUCAAUGAAUGUGAUUAACAUUUUUAACUCUAAUCCUCGACGUUUACGUAAUCAUGGUCAUCGUCACUAUAUAUCACUCACUAUCAAUGAUAUAUGUAUAAGAAACCUUCUGCUAUUUAUAUAAAUGCGUUAUUUAUUAGAUUCGCACGAAGCUUUAUUCUUCAGCCCUUUCAAAACGUAUUCUCUUAAAUAUCUUAAUAACUUAUGUGUGUGAAACCACUGUUAAUAACCAAUAAUAAUUCAAACCAAUUGAAACGUACAGCUAUUAUUUCGAAUAUUGCAAGUCACUGACUGUAAAAACCAGUUUGCAUCGAAAAAAAAAUGAAAAGGUUGAAACAUCCUUUCAUAAAUGUCCUUUGCAAACAAAGGCAUUGACGCCUCAGCAAUUCAAUAAUAUGACAGUUGUUUUCCAUUCUUUGAUGCGUUUGAGCUUUUAAUUUUGUCAUUUCAUUAGGAACUUUUCGUUUUAAUUUUCAUCGGUGUUCAGUAGUUUCGUGAUUUUUCUUAUUUAGGUAUUAUCUUUCAUUAUAAUUCAGUUCACUCCAAAAUUUUCCCUUUUUUUAAGAUACAAAUGUAGGUCUGUACCUAUCAAUUAUCAUACCUAUACUAAUGAUACGAUUCUUUCUUUUUCAGAAAGUUACGAGGCAAUACUAUAACUAUAUUACAACAAGGAACAUUCAAAGACCUACCAGCGCUAAAAACUAUGUGUGUAUAAAAUUAAAUUAUAUGUCAUUCAGACGUGUUGUCAAAACCACUAGAGUCAUUCAGAGGAAGAGUAUAUUCAAUACUAUGAAUGAAAAAAAAACACUUUAAUGCGUUUAAACUUAUUGUAGAUUUCAGGCCUAUAAUUAACAAUAAAAUAAACGCGUUUUAUCUACACCAAAAGCAUUGGUGCCUUUAGAAUCAGUUGUUAAACUGUAGUUAUCUACUAAAUAUCAUCUGUAACUUUUAAAGAAAAGAUAAUACUCAUGUUCGUGUAUGCAAUUAACCAAGGUAUUUACUUAUGCUUGUCGUCAAUUUGUAAAGGAAACAAAAGGGACAUUCAACGGCGAAUACCACUCCUUCAAAACAAAUUCUGUGGAAAUUUUUUUACUAAAACAUAUUAAUUGCAAAUUUGUAUUCAGGUACGUUUUUGUAUGAAAUAAACAUAUAAAAUUGCAUGUCAAGUUGACAAAAGAAUAUAUUCCAUGCUUUUCAAAAGGAAAUUAAAAAUAUGUCAAAACGACAGCAAUCCAAUGAAAGAUCAGAAAACGGGCACCAAUGAGUCUUCAACACAGCGAAAAACAUAUAUUACACGAACAGUUAAAUUCCUUUUGAACCAACGAGCUUUAGGAAUCGAACAUUAUGAUAAAUCAGUCAUUACCAAAUCAUAACUUCUCUGUUUCAGAUGGUUUGAUACCGGUACAAUUACUACAAUACAACGUGGGCCGUUUAAAAACCUAACUGCACUCGAUUCAUU